CCCUUAGAUGUUCUGGGCCGCACGCGCGCUACACUGAUGCAGUCAACAAGUUUAUUUCCUGAGCUGAAAAGUUUGGGUAAUCUUUUGAAACUGCAUCGUGCUGGGGCUUGACGAUUGCAAUUAUUUGUCACAAACGAGGAAUUCCUAGUAAGCACUAGUCAUCAGCUAAUGUUGAUUAUGUCCCUGCCCUUUGUACACACCGCCCGUCGCUACUACUGAUUGGGUGUUCAAGUGAGAUGCUUAGACCCUUGUUGCAUGGUUCAUUAUUGUGCUCCGAAAGGAAAAAGUUUCAAGCUUGAGUGUCUAGAGGAAGUAAAAGUCGUAACA
rnacentral:rRNA from 1 species